rnacentral:rRNA from 1 species
CCUCCGGGUGACCGCAGUGAGGAAUAUUGGUCCAUGGGCGCGAGCCUGAACCAGCCAAGUAGCGUGAAGGAUGACUGCCCUACGGGUUGUAAACUUCUUUUAUAAAGGAAUAAAGUGAGGCCCGUGUGCCUUUUUGUAUGUACUUUAUGAAUAAGGCUCGUCUACCUCCGUGCCAGCAGCCGCGUUAAUACGGCGGAUCCGAGCGUUAUCCGGAUUUAUUGGGUUUAAAGGGAGCGUAGAUGGGUUGUUAAGUCAGUUGUGAAAGUUUGCGGCUCAACCGUAAAAUUGCAAUUGAUACUGGCAGUCGUGAGUACAGUUGAGGUAGGCGGAAUUCGUGGUGUAGCGGUGAAAUGCUUAGAGAUCACGAAGAACUCCGAUUGCGAAGGCAGCUUACUAAACUGCCACUGACAUUGAUGCUCGAAAGUGUGGGUAUCAAACAGGAGUAGAUACCCUGGUAGUC